GGUUCGAUGGUGUAGUUGGUUAUCACGUCAGUCUAACAUUCUUCGGAAUUUUAAACACUGAAGGUCCCGAGUUCAAACCUCGGUUGAAUCA
rnacentral:tRNA from 1 species